AUCAUUCUUUUUGGUUCAAUUGAGAUGCUUGAAGAAUCUGAUUGAUAAUCCAUUUGCAUUUCUUCAUCUAAUUUCAUUUAUGUUCAGGAUGAUCAGACUCAAGUUCAAGCGAAAGAGUGAGAGAGAGCGUCAACAGAAGGGGAUCCGGUGCCGUCGCCUUGCAACCCUGUUUCGGUGACCAUCUCUGUCUUCUACCCCUUUGUUCCAGCGGCCAUGGGUGUGGUAGUCACCGGAGGCUGAUAUGAUGGACCCAAACCGAAGCAGACUAUGAUGGUGGCGAAGUUACCGUUAGCGCCUAGGGUUCCAGCAGAACACCGACAAGUUAUAUCUGUCAUGCAUGUCCUGUUUUGGUGUAGAUCGACAAACGCCGAGGUACCAACACUGUGGUAAGUUCCAAUAAUUCCUUUUUGGUCCAAGAGGGAGGGGAUACUCAACUUCAACCCUUCAAAUCUUGAUCUGGGCAACUGGAAAUAAAGAUUUUUUUAGUACAAAAAUAAGCUUAGAAAAGUGCAACUUGCUCAAGUUUUGGAAUAUCAACUGAGGUUGAAUGGCUUGGCAAAGCAGUGGAACACUCACACCUUAAGUAAUAUAAGUAUAGUUAUUGUUGUUGGCAGCCCUUUGAAAAUAUAGAAGAAUAGGCUAGAGAAAUGAGAAAAUAAAUACACAUGCCCGGAAAUAGGGAAAAUAAAUCAACUUAAAGAGUAAGAAAACCCCUUUGGAUAAGUUUUAUGGUGUGCUAGAGAAAUGAGAAAAUAAAUACACAUGCCCGAAUAUUGAUAUUAAAUUUGCGAUUUGAUUGUUCGGUUCUCUGUUGUAAUUCUGUUUCAUUAAUUUUGUGUUUUUGUUUUGUGUACGACAUUUCCAGUUUACAUUGAUGUGUAUGUUUGGCAAAUUAGGACUUAAGUUGGGUACUGUAGAUCUGAAUACAUAUGAGUGAUUGAGAAUCCUUAGUCGAAUCUUUUGGUACAUUGUCAGUAUGGAAAAAUGGGUUAUCUGGAUGGGUCGGUCAAACAACUCCUAAUCCACUAUAAGUGAUCUACUUAACCCGUUAGGGACAUAUCAUAUCUUACCCAACUUGGCCCUUUUUAGUAAGUAAAUUGGUCAAAAUUGAUUGGUGGCUGAUGUAUAAAAAAUAUUUUUGUUUCAGAAGGCAAAACCAACUGAUGAGAAUGAAAGUGAACCCAUGUUACAAUGUGGUAUGCAUGAUAUUAAUGGUGUUGAUACAGAUCAUGCUUCUAGAGCUGCUAUAUGGUCAAAGUUCUCAAAACACCAUGGCAGCUUAGGUUUAUUAUUCAAUCUUCUCAAACCGCCAACAGUAGCCCCAUGGGUCCUAGAGGUCUCAAUGAAGUUGCAUGGUUGAAGUGGGAUGAUAUGUGUUUGUAAAUGGUUGAAGUGGAAUCAUAUGUGUUUGUAAUUUUAUAUAUCUCAUUUUGGUAACGAAGCUGAAUCUGUUGUAUGCAUUUGACUUGGGUGAACACAUUAUGCCUUUUUAUAAAGUCAUGUAUAGUAUAAUCUUCAUAAAUAAAUAUUCGUAAACCAUAAACGAAGUAAAACUCAUGUAUGAAAUUGCAGGAUUCGGAUGUUAUAAGUUUGAAUGGUAUGGGGUUUUUGAAGAUUGAAUUGUCUCCCGCCAUCAAAUAUGUUUUCAUUGUAUGUCGCGCAAAUGACAACGGUCAAGUCUUGAAUGCGUGUGGAGUCGUGACACAUAUGCCGCAAAAGAAGAGUUCGGUGAUGAAGAGGUGAACUGUGAAUCUUCACCGGAACAGGCUGCAAAUUUUUUAUUUUGGUUUCGCUCGAUCCACUUUAGAUGAAGAAAGCCAAGAAUGCGAUCUUGAACCAAUGCUACGUAGCGCGCCGCAACGCGCGCGGGGGGUAUAAACCUAGUUAAAGACAAAAAUUGAAGCUUUCCCUUCUCACACACACAUAUACAUACAAAUCAUAUAUAUAUAUAUAUAUACUAGAUUAUAACCCCGUGUAUUACACGGGUUGAAUAAAUAAAUUUUAUAUACUAAAUAAUAAAACAUUAUCUUUUUAAAAGCCUCCUUUAUUGCACGGGUUGAAGAAAUGUAAUUUUAUAUAUUAAAUAAUAAAAUAAGUUAUAUCUAUAAGAACCAUAUAUAUUGUACGGGUUGAAUAAAUGUAAUAUUAUAUACCAAAUAAUAAAAAAAAUUAUAUCUUUAAAACCAUCGUAUUACACGGGUUGAAUAAAUGUAAUAUUGUUUACCAAAUAAUAAAAAAAAUUAUAUUUUUAAAAACCCCCGUGUAUUACAUGAGUUGAAUAAAUAUGAUUUUAUAUACCAAAUAAUAAAAAAAAAUAUUUAAAAAAA